rnacentral:rRNA from 1 species
UACGAGUGCCCCAAGCGUUAUCCGGAAUCAUUGGGCGUAAAGGGUGUGUAGGUGGUUUGGUUAGUCUUCUGUCAAAACUCAUGGCUUAACCAUGGGCUCGCAGAGGAAACGGCCAGACUAGAGUGUGCGAGAGGUGAAUGGAACUCAUGGAGUAGGGGUGAAAUCCGUUGAUAUCAUGGGGAACACCAAAAGCGAAGGCAAUUCACUGGCGCAUUACUGACACUGAAACACGAAAGCGUGGGUAGCGAACGGG